rnacentral:rRNA from 1 species
CUCUGGAACUGCCAUCAAAACUUUUCAGCUAGAGUAUGAUAGAGGAAAGCAGAAUUUCUAGUGUAGAGGUGAAAUUCGUAGAUAUUAGAAAGAAUACCAAUUGCGAAGGCAGCUUUCUGGAUCAUUACUGACACUGAGGAACGAAAGCAUGGGUAGCGAAGAGGAUUAGAUACCCUCGUAGUCCAUGCCGUAAACGAUGUGUGUUAGACGUUGGAAAUUUAUUUUCAGUGUCGCAGCGAAAGCGAUAAACACACCGCCUGGGGAGUACGACCGCAAGGUUAAAACUCAAAUGAAUUGACGGGGACCCGCACAAGUAGUGGAGCAUGUGGUUUAAUUCGAAGAUACGCGCAGAACCUUACCAACACUUGACAUGUUCGUCGCGACUUUAAGAGAUUAAAGUUUUCGGUUCGGCCGGACGAAACACAGGUGCUGCAUGGCUGUCGUCAGCUCGUGUCGUGAGAUGUUGGGUUAAGUCCCGCAACGAGCGCAACCCUCACUUUUAGUUGCCAUCAUUAAGUUGGGCACUCUGAAAGAACUGCCAGUGAUAAGCUGGAGGAAGGUGGGGAUGACGUCAAGUCCUCAUGGCCCUUACGUGUUGGGCUACACACGUGCUACAAUGGUAUCUACAACAGGAAGCAAAACCGCGAGGUUAAGCAAAUCCUUAAAAGAUACCUCAGUUCGGAUUGCACUCUGCAACUCGAGUGCAUGAAGCUGGAAUUACUAGUAAUCGUGGAUCAGCGUGCCACGGUGAAUGCGUUCCCGGGUCUUGUACACACCGCCCGUCACACCAUGGGAGUUGGUUCUACCUUAAGGCAAGGUUUCAAACCCUUGACCACGGUAUAGUCAGCGACUGGGGUGAAGUCAUAACAAGGUAGCCGUA